rnacentral:rRNA from 1 species
AAAGGAAGAUUAAUACAAGAUGGCAUCAUGAGUCCGCAUGUUCACAUGAUUAAAGGUAUUCCGGUAGACGAUGGGGAUGCGUUCCAUUAGAUAGUAGGCGGGGUAACGGCCCACCUAGUCUUCGAUGGAUAGGGGUUCUGAGAGGAAGGUCCCCCACAUUGGAACUGAGACACGGUCCAAACUCCUACGGGAGGCAGCAGUGAGGAAUAUUGGUCAAUGGGCGAGAGCCUGAACCAGCCAAGUAGCGUGAAGGAUGACUGCCCUAUGGGUUGUAAACUUCUUUUAUAAAGGAAUAAAGUCGGGUAUGGAUACCCGUUAGCAUGUACUUUAUGAAUAAGGAUCGGCUAACUCCGUGCCAGCAGCCGCGGUAAUACGGAGGAUCCGAGCGUUAUCCGGAUUUAUUGGGUUUAAAGGGAGCGUAGAUGGAUGUUUAAGUCAGUUGUGAAAGUUUGCGGCUCAACCGUAAAAUUGCAGUUGAUACUGGAUAUCUUGAGUGCAGUUGAGGCAGGCGGAAUUCGUGGUGUAGCGGUGAAAUGCUUAGAUAUCACGAAGAACUCCGAUUGCGAAGGCAGCCUGCUAAGCUGCAACUGACAUUGAGGCUCGAAAGUGUGGGUAUCAAACAGGAUUAGAUACCCUGGUAGUCCACACGGUAAACGAUGAAUACUCGCUGUUUGCGAUAUACGGCAAGCGGCCAAGCGAAAGCGUUAAGUAUUCCACCUGGGGAGUACGCCGGCAACGGUGAAACUCAAAGGAAUUGACGGGGGCCCGCACAAGCGGAGGAACAUGUGGUUUAAUUCGAUGAUACGCGAGGAACCUUACCCGGGCUUAAAUUGCAGAUGAAUUACGGUGAAAGCCGUAAGCCGCAAGGCAUCUGUGAAGGUGCUGCAUGGUUGUCGUCAGCUCGUGCCGUGAGGUGUCGGCUUAAGUGCCAUAACGAGCGCAACCCUUGUUGUCAGUUACUAACAGGUUCCGCUGAGGACUCUGACAAGACUGCCAUCGUAAGAUGUGAGGAAGGUGGGGAUGACGUCAAAUCAGCACGGCCCUUACGUCCGGGGCUACACACGUGUUACAAUGGGGGGUACAGAGGGCCGCUACCACGCGAGUGGAUGCCAAUCCCCAAAACCUCUCUCAGUUCGGACUGGAGUCUGCAACCCGACUCCACGAAGCUGGAUUCGCUAGUAAUCGCGCAUCAGCCACGGCGCGGUGAAUACGUUCCCGGGCCU